UACGGAGGAUGCGAGCGUUAUCCGGAUUUAUUGGGUUUAAAGGGUGCGUAGGCGAACGCUUAAGUCAGCGGUAAAAUUGCGGGGCUCAACCUCGUCGAGCCGUUGAAACUGGGUGUCUUGAGUGGGCGAGAAGUACGCGGAAUGCGUGGUGUAGCGGUGAAAUGCAUAGAUAUCACGCAGAACUCCGAUUGCGAAGGCAGCGUACCGGCGCCCAACUGACGCUGAAGCACGAAGGCGUGGGUAUCGAACAGG
rnacentral:rRNA from 1 species